UAGUCAGAGUGAGACACCAUUCUUAUUGAUGAUAAUUAUCUUGGCUCCUCCAGGUUGUCACCACUGAUUUUGGAACGUGGCCUCAUGUUCACUCAAAGAAAGCCUGCGUAAUAUAAAGGCCCCAGAAGCCAGUACUAAAAAUAAUUUAACAAGUCGCAAUUAAUAAGACGGCAUAUAAGUAAAUGAAAAGAGAGUCACGGAAACAGAAGGCACAGAAUACAUUUCUGUGCUAUCAGCAGUAUACCCUGACCCUUGUUAUACACCCUUUGUGGGAUUGAAACCCCCAUCAAGCUCUGCACCUUCGUUCUAUAUAUAUAUGUGUAAAAAUCGUUCCCUUUCACAGCUCUUAGAUCCGAGGUUCCCUGCCUUCAGGAGUCCUGAGCCCCCUGUGCCGUCCUCAGUUCCUCCCCUCUCGGUUCUGGAGCACUGUCACCCAGUCCCCCUACAGAGACGAUCCCUCAGUGUCACCAUCCAUCCUCAGACCUGUAAACACUGCGCUGCCAGAUCCAUCGGAGGGCUGACAGACAUGCUACACAGAAAGGAUGCUUUGAUAGAUGGCCGACGCCGGGUCCCUGUGAGCACCGGGGGCUGUGUGAGCUAAGCGCCCUGUCCGUGCAUGCUGGGAAGAAGCAGGUAUUUACAGCAGACUGCUAAAGGCUGGGGGUGAAUAGGUUACCUUACAGAGCUGCUUCUCCUCUGUCUCCUUCCCUGCCUCCCUCUCCCUCUGCCUGUUUCUUUGUCUGCACUGGAAAAUGAAGCCUCAUCACCUACAAUGAAGCUCAAAGGCUGCUCGAGGGACUUUGCAAUGCAAAUGCAAGAAGACCCUAUCCGUGACACCAGUGCAGAGGUCGGCUUCCACGGACCCCUGCCGCAAUGGUCAAGCCGAACAAGACCAGGAUGGAUGGACCUGCGUGCGCCUGCCUGUUUUCGGCAGAAAACAACGGAUUUUUCCCCGACACUUUUCCGAAUCGAGUCCUCUAAAGCUGUGGCGCAGAUGAUGGCAGUGGACUUUCUUGGCUUCCUUGCGAUGACUAAGACAAUCCUGAAUAGAAAGAGUUCUAGAGAUGAGAAUGUUAAGGUACAUAUGUUAAAAUAUGAACCUCUCCGUGCGUUGCUGUAUUUUUUUUAAAAUUCCUUUUUGUUUUUACAGAUUCUCUGAUACCAGAUGGAGCUUAUAUCCUACUCUGGACCCUGAAGCCUAUGUAGGGCUCUUUUUUUUUUUUUUGCAUCGUUUUAAAAGCUACGUACAGGCGUGUGCAAGAAUAUAGCACAGGGGGAGAGAGAGAGAGAGAGAGGAGAGAGAGAAGAGAGAGAGACAGCAAUCCCUGCCUAUUAGAUCAACAUUACUUCUAAGGCAUAUGCUUACAAACACCAAAACAGGGCUGACUUGCAAUGUUCAGGAAAUUCGAAAAGGUAUAAUAAGAGCAUAGUACUAAUUGCAAUGGUGUUACUCUGUUAUGUAUGAUAGAAACUGAUCAUGUCCUCCUCUUUUGUUUUGCGACAAUCCAAGAAGAGAUCUGCAAGAAUGACUUAGCAACCAGGUACCUCUACUACUCUUAUUGUCGUACAACAAAGGUAUAUAAUAUCUAUUAUUCUCUCGCUCUCUCUCUCUGUCUCUCUCACACUCUUUCUCCUUGUGCAUCUGCAAUGGUAUCCUGCUCUUUACCUAGACUAACAUCGUCCGUCCGUCUACUGUUUAUUUAUAAAGUAGGUAUACGUGGGUGUGCUGAAAUUUAACUUCGCCUUUUUCUUAUCUCCUGCAGUCGCAUGUUAAGAUUUGGAGACUACCAUGACUGUUUUGUGCGGGAAAGGCAAUUUCUUUUUUUUCCCCUUUUCGAUUCCUUCCUGGUGUUGUUGAUUCCAGCCCUGCUGGCAGUGCGCACACAGUACAGUGCAGGCAGCAAGCGAGGACACGGGGCUGCUCCUGUGUGUGUCGGGGAUCGCCGGCGUGUUUCCAUACAGAGACCUGCAUGGAUAUAUCCGAUCGAUCUGUGUAAUGCAAACACGCGUGUGGACGCAUGUCAGCGUGGGGGAGUGCAGCGAGGGGCAAACUGGUCAGUUGGAAAAGACGAAUGAUGGGUUGAUCUAUGCAGGCAGAUGGAUGCUGGAACAGACAGGAGAGGGGAUCUGUGCACAUGUGUUGCUAUGCAGGAGCUUAGCAGGGCAAACCCGACAGGGAUGUUUAUCUUGGGUUUGAGCUCUUUGUGUUCACAGUGGACCUUGAUUUAAUUUUAUACAAUUAAGGCACGCGGUGAAUGCCAAGAGAGAAGCCACGAGCACCUUUUAUGUUCAAGAUCUAAGGGAAGGAAACGGAACAGGUCAACAAGGGAAACAGCAGGGCAAACUAACCCUGGUGCCUACGGGGAAGAGAGCAAUUUCUGCAUUUAUAUUAUACACACACACAUAUCCAGUAUAGAAAACGAACAGGUUGCAGUCUUUGUUGAGGACAAUACUAAUGAUCCUUACUGCAAACUCCAGUCUGCGUUGAGUGUCAGGCAGUGCAUAUACCAGCAGAAUACUAAUGCCCCUUUCACAGAAUCUGCGGGUGUAAUAGAAAUUUAUAUGAUUAAAUAACACAGUGUAGGGCUGUUGGAGGAACUGGGGGAGGGGGGGCAGUUUUAUUAAUGGACUGCUCUUUUUUUCCCCCCGUCCAAUUAAGCUGGUAAAUAUUCAAAGGCAUUUCUGGCGAAAGGCAAAGUGGUAUUCUGCUAAUCAAGGUGAUUGAAAUAGGUCUCGGCACCUCAUGCCUGCCAUUGUUCUGAGGGUUUUGGAGGCUGUGAGAACUAACAAUUCAGGUUUGAACAUUCUGGUUGGAAAAACUGCUUAAAUUGUCAUGUCUCACAAAUUAUUUUUGCUUGCCUGCUAUUUCCCAGUACCGAUAAUGCUCAUUGUUUAGCUACGUCUUUAGGCUUUUGACGUUAAAUUACAAAAAAACGUGGUUAAACUGAUGCGCACUUAAUAUAAGUUGUACAAACCACAGUGUGCAGUCGGCACAGGUGCUGGUCUGAGUCUCGUCACAGGGUUCGUAAAAGCCGCCCGGGUUGCAUGUUAACAAACUACAGUUAGAGCUGUCCGCUCUGAUUGAGGUCAAAGCCUAAAACAAGAGGCCAACAAGAACACCGUUAAAACAGCUGGCGAUAUUCGAAGUUAAGCACAGGGGGAAAAAAACAUAGUUCAGUGCAUGUCGACUAUUUGUUUUGAAAUACAAUAAAUUCAACAUAGCCAACCCAUGGAAAUCUUUUUUUCUUGUCUCAACAAGUUUAAUUUCCUAAUGAUACUAAUUUACUGACCAAGAUAUUUGUUUAAUAAUGCAAGAACCCCCCCAAAAAGUUGCAAAGCGCUGCGAGUUUGACCUACAUAUGCAGUCUUGCGCGACUGGAAGAUUCUUUCAGUCACCCACCGAUAUUUCUGCAUUUAAACGUAGACUCGCACUUUUAACACCUACUUUCUAAUCGACUGUAUUUUGGUGUCAUGGUGUCAUGCGAAAAGCUAAACCUAGGAAUAGGACCCUGGAAAUUCAUGUUCGGAAGCAAUAAAUACAUUGGAUUUUUGUUCGGUAGCAGUAGUAAAGUAUACAGCUUUACUGUUAACAGAUCCUGAAUGAGAUACCCCAGGCCAGUGUGGAUUUGAGAGAAACCAGCAAGCGCACCUUGGUGUGUUGUUAAAGCACUAAUAUUUUACCACUGAUAAAAAGAACAACAAAAAUAACUAGCAAAAAGUGAAUCCAUCUAAAACCAUGUCUAGACGGGUAUGAAAUAUUAAAGAGACAGUCGAGUCAAACUUGGCCUAAAUAUCUCCUCUCUUCAGUACUUCGAGGAGACGACGUGCUCGUCCGAGUGUACAGAUAUAUAUUACCUGACAGCGGGGAGAAAUGACUAAAUAAAUAAGCGAAUUUUCUAGUGCUCAGGACAGAACACAAAACACAAGGGUUUCACUGAGAUGGGGCACAGGCUACACCAAGACACGUGUCGCAUUUGCUAGGAGGGGUUACGCAUGAUCCUAUAUGUUUACUAUUAAUUUUACGCAUUAACUAUUUGCUGUCAGGAUAAAAAAAACUAAAUUUGCUAGUCAAAUCCUCGUAAUGGGAGCGGCUGACCGAUUACAAUAAUAAAAGAACAACUGCAGCCGGGAUAAAGGCAGGAAAUAAAUCAUAAUGACAAUCAGCUCAUUCAUUAACGUUUCAUUUUGACAGACGUCUGUAUCGGGUAUUAGCUUUUCGUGUUACCCUGAACAUACAAAAGUUCUCCAGUGCAGGAUAUUAUAUUUUAUACAGUGUUCUUUGCAUAGAACACACAACACAUUGUGCUGUAAGUUCAGAAAGAAAUAACAGUACCUCGGCGUGUGAGUUUUCUCCAGGUCUAUCAUCAGUCGAAACAGAAUGACCGGCCCGUUUUUACCAGCUAGGCCAAACUCGGCAGUCAAUAAAAACUAUAUUUGGGAUCCGAUCUAUAAAUUCGAGAUUCUGAGGGAAAAAAAGACAUUACAUUAUGUCAUUAAAUAAAGAAAAUUCAGAAACAAAAUACUGACAUUUUAAAAAUCUAAAGAUAAAAUAUUUUUUCUCUCUUUUCUUUGGUCCGACAGAUCAAGCCGGAUGGUAUACCUACAAAUCCCGGCGAUUUGUCAAACCUAAAUCGAAGAAUCAAGGCCUAGGCAUUCACUAUUAGAUUAAUUUUAUAAUCUCUUCAGCAAAAUCUUAACACGUUUCAGGACCGUUAUUUUCAAUUUGUAAUACUAUAUUUCUCAUUUCUCGCUGUAGUUCCAGCAAACGUGGAAAUAAAAUCUGCUGAAUCUCGUAGUUUUGUUUACUCAAUUAAAAUAGUCCAUUAAAAGAAAAAGAGAUGUAAUUAAUUGUCCCUGAAUAAAAUUUAACAUCCCUAAACUAUGGGAUAUUUCCGAUUUUGGCACCGAUUUCGCUUGAUUUUCCGUUGCCGAAAGGAAGCUAAGAAUACCGCAGCAGGCCUAGUGGAGACAACAAUUCAUUUUUAAACUGCAAGGAACCUAAUAAAUAGUGUCCAUAUAAAUUAAAAUAAAUAAUAAGAUCAAUAACUCGCACGUAUAUUCAUUGAGAAAGCAUCACGGGAUACCGUGAUACUCAAAAGUGAACACAACAGCAGGAAAGAAGUCUUUAUGUAGACGAUUUGUCAAAAUUAACAGGAUGAGGAAAAUUAACAAAUUCUCUACAUAAAUUAAUAAUUUCAGUAAACAGACUACCUACCGACAGUCAGAUAUGGUUAUAGCUACGUAAAUACAAAAGUGUAACAAUACCACAGCCAACAACUAUUUUUUAAUGCGGUCCUGUAAGUGGCCUUUUCCAUUUUGCCAUUUGUAUUGUUUUUCGUUAGUAAUAUAGGUCCCUCUUUACGUGAUAUAACAUUGCACACCUCAUUAACCACGCACACUUUAAGUGAAUUGGUGUAUUAAUCCAAAGGCGACUGGACGAAUUCUGGAGAUGUGGUUUUGUUUAUUAUUAUUAUUUUUUUGUAGUUUUGUUGUCUACCGCUGUAUCACUCACAUCUUAAAAAAUCUAGGAAACAACUGCUGGUUUUAGUGACAAGGAGGAAUUAUGGUGAAUGAAUUUCGAGGUUGUUUUUGAAGACAUUUACAACAAUAAAUGCAUUUUUUAGUCAUAAAAAUUGAAAUUUCAAUUCUUUAACUUUUAAAUGUAGAUUUUAAUUGUAUUUAAUAUUAUCCACGUUUUCUUAAUUCCAUAGUUUACAGUAUCAGCAAUAUCGAUCGUGGGGAUAUAAUAUUAUCUUUUGUACGUUCUGUACCUUUUCCUUUGUUGUAAUAAAACAAACUCAAACACUUAACAGGAACAGCCAACGUGCGAAACCAAUAACAUUUGUUCAACAAUUUCUAAUUUUCCCUCUAACAUUCACAGGAGAACACAUGGAGCCGGCUUCUGAAACGUUUGGAACCGCCUUUGUAUUGUAACACUUUUAUCUGAUACUUUCGUUUUGCCAGGAAAAAAAACCUCAUUUUGUAAUGUAAAUGGAGGUCUGGUGAGGUUUUCCGAAGCGUAACUAAUGGAAGAAAUAGACGGAUGUAUUUAUGGUAAUGAGGGGUGCGCACCUAGCCGAGGCGCACGUUAUAAAUCGAAGGAGUAAUAACCAUGUAUUUUGACUGAUGUUGCACACGCCGAAGUGAAAAUAAGAAGUUAACGGUUAACGGCCCUUAUCACCUAUAGCUGCUUCUACCGAUACCUUUGUCGACUGCCUACCGUACGGUUUCCUUAACGUUUACCGGGGUAACAAAAACAAAAUUGCCAACUACUUUACCUCUGGAGAUUUUCCUGGUACAGUUUUAUGUAUUUUUUUUUUAGAAAACCUAUAAUUAACUCAACUAACCCCACUUGUGAUUAAAAGGGGAGUGUGCUAUUUUAUACAUUAAAAAUCGUUUAAAGAUCAUUCGUUUGGUUUGUACAACUUCCAGACUAAAUGAACGCUAACAAAACAAAAAUGAAAGGGAAAAUUGUCUUCGGCUUUUCUUGGCUCAUAAUAACAGAAUCGGUUUUACAGAUGGACUUCUUUAAGUGGUGUGUGUGGAUGAGAUUAAAAGCAUGCAACACUUGAUGAAAGUCGCAAAAAGCAUGUAAAAGAAUCUGUAAUAGCAAACAAUUUACCCGAGAGAGUUUCACCAAUUUUGGCUAUUCUGUAAGAGUUACGAAGUCUAAUGCCAUUUGUCAUGGAAACCAAUAAAACCGAUUACAUCA